GAAACGCUUGUACGGAAGGAGUAAUUGCAGCCCCCAGAUCUCCCAGGACUCGUAAACUAAGACCAGGAGGGCACACGCUUCUUGUCCCUGGCCUGACCUCCUUUGCUCCCUUCACCAGGAAGAGACUGGCCAUGCUCCAGAUGGGGAUUCUCCAGGCAGCCUGGGUCCCAGAGUGAAGCUGCACAGAGCUGAGCCCCCAGCUGACCUGCAAUGAACACCCAGUGAUCUCCCCUCUCUGGCUCCAGUGUCUUCAGCAGUAACUCAUCAACACAGUACAGUCACAUCACAGGCCCAUCACCUGAGAAGCACCACCACCAGUCUACUCCAGGAAUGAAGAUCUUUCAGCUGCUGAGUGGUGUGGAUGGAUAAAGAGCCUGGCUGACUGGUUUAGGAGACAAUCCAGGUUAGUGACAGCUCAGUUACAGGACAGUUAUAAGGCAUCAUGGUUGUCUUCAAAUAUUUGAAGGGUUGAAGGAGGGGUUAGAUCUAGUCUUUGUGGGUUGAAGGGGAAGAAGAACCAAAUGGAUGUACAUACGUACAGAUAAGUUUAUCUUCCCUAAAUAAGAACUUGAGGCUGGUUGCAUUGGAAGUAAUGAGUAUAUUUACAGCAGAAGUAUUUAAAACCAGGGCAGAAUGACCACUUGACUGGGAUGUUACCAAGGGGAUUCAUGCCUCUAAGAUGUGAUUUAUGGAAGUCUAAUCAAAUCCUUCUGGCUCCAAGCUUCUGUGAUUCUAUAUUUUCACACUUGGCCCAGGCCAACUGAGGUCUAACUGUUCUAGUUUCUUAUCUACUCUUCACAAAGUAUUUACUCUCAGUUCUAAUUAAUUAGCAUUUGCAAGCAUAUUAUUUUUACAUUUCUAAGCAAAGAUACUCUUAUUGUUUUUUUGUAAUAUUUAAAAAGGCAAUUUAGUGUUGGGUUUUCUUUUUCACAUAUAGCAUUGAUAUAUCGAUAUUUACCUCUAGGUAGUGAAGCUGCUAUACUUCUGUGAGAAAAUGGGCAGUGGCACACGCACACGUGCACACAUAUCCACAUGUAGUCUGGUGUGUGUGUACUGCCUUAUUUUAGGUAUGCUUUGUCUGUGUACUUAUAUGCUGUUCAUGCUAGGAUCCAUCCUCUUUCACAGCCAAAGAAAUUUUACAAACUCUUCCUUUCCUUUCUUUCACUUUUGUUUUUUAUUGUGGACACUGUGCUGCUGUUCCCUGAGUCUAAAGAUGCGGGGGGAGAGAAGGGAGAGUGCAGUCAGUGAAAA